rnacentral:rRNA from 1 species
UGACCUCAAAUCAGACAAGGAUACCCGCUGAACUUAAGCAUAUCAAUAAGCGGGAGGAAAA